AGUGAACGCUGGCGGUGGGCCUAACACAUGCAAGUCGAACGGCAGCACAGUAAGAGCUUGCUCUUACGGGUGGCGAGUGGCGGACGGGUGAGGAAUACAUCGGAAUCUACUUUUUCGUGGGGGAUAACGUAGGGAAACUUACGCUAAUGCCGCAUACGACCUACGGGUGAAAGCAGGGGAUCUUCGGACCUUGCGCGAUUGAAUGAGCCGAUGUCGGAUUAGCUAGUUGGCGGGGUAAAGGCCCACCAAGGCGACGAUCCGUAGCUGGUCUGAGAGGAUGAUCAGCCACACUGGAACUGAGACACGGUCCAGACUCCUACGGGAGGCAGCAGUGGGGAAUAUUGGACAAUGGGCGCAAGCCUGAUCCAGCCAUACCGCGUGGGUGAAGAAGGCCUUCGGGUUGUAAAGCCCUUUUGUUGGGAAAGAAAAGCAGCAGGUUAAUACCCCGCUGUUCUGACGGUACCCAAAGAAUAAGCACCGGCUAACUUCGUG
rnacentral:rRNA from 1 species